GGAUCCCUACGAGGGGCAGCAGUAGGGAAUUUUCGUCAAUGGGCGCAAGCCUGAACGAGCGAUGCCGCGUGAGUGAAGAAGGCCUUCGGGUCGUAAAGCUCUGUUGCGGGGGAAAAAAGGCAGCAUCAGGAAAUGGGUGCUGACUGAUGGUGCCCCGCCAGAAAGUCACGGCUAACUACGUGCCAGCAGCCGCGGUAAUACGUAGGUGGCGAGCGUUAUCCGGAAUGAUUGGGCGUAAAGGGUAGGCAGGCGGUCCGGCAAG
rnacentral:rRNA from 1 species